ACGUAGGUGGCAAGCGUUGUCCGGAAUUAUUGGGCGUAAAGCGCGCGCAGGCGGUCCUUUAAGUCUGAUGUGAAAGCCCACGGCUCAACCGUGGAGGGUCAUUGGAAACUGGGGGACUUGAGUGCAGAAGAGGAAAGUGGAAUUCCACGUGUAGCGGUGAAAUGCGUAGAGAUGUGGAGGAACACCAGUGGCGAAGGCGGCCUGCUGGGCUGUUGCUGACGCUGAUGCGCGACAGCGUGGGGAGCAAACAGGA
rnacentral:rRNA from 1 species